AUUGAACGCUGGCGGCAGGCUUAACACAUGCAAGUCGAGCGGAGAUGAGGUGCUUGCACCUUAUCUUAGCGGCGGACGGGUGAGUAAUGCGUAGGAAGCUACCCGAUAGAGGGGGAUACCAGUUGGAAACGACUGUUAAUACCGCAUAAUGUCUACGGACCAAAGUGUGGGACCUUCGGGCCACAUGCUAUCGGAUGCGCCUACGUGGGAUUAGCUAGUUGGUGGGGUAAUGGCUCACCAAGGCGACGAUCCCUAGCUGGUUUGAGAGGAUGAUCAGCCACACUGGAACUGAGACACGGUCCAGACGCCGACGGGGGGCAGCAGUGGGGAAUAUUGGACAAUGGGCGCAAGCCUGAUCCAGCCAUGCCGGGUGUGUGAAGAAGGCCUUCGGGUUGUAAAGCACUUUCAGUAGGGAGGAAGGGUGUUGUGUUAAUAGCACAGCAUUUUGACGUUACUUACAGAAGAAGCACCGGCUAACUCUGUGCCAGCCGCCGCCGUAACAC
rnacentral:rRNA from 1 species